AGUUGCUAGACCCUAAGAUGAUGCAAACCACUGAGCUGCUGAAGACAGAGAGAUCGUUUCUCAGCAGGAUGACAGAGAUAACUGUGUGGUGACAGCACACUCAAGGCUGAAGAGUAGCAGUGCAUCCAGGGUCCAAAAUGAACACUCGCCGAGCUCCCAUUGUGACUGAAAUUUGGCUUUGACUCCCUAUUGAUUAUCCAGUUCUCUCUCAAGUGCCUGUUCUAUUUUAGACUGACAUGCCAUCAUAUGACCUCACUCCAAAAUGUCAAUCACAGUAUCCCGUUCUCUCUCUCUCUCUCUCUCUCUCUCUCUCUCUCUCUCAAUCCUGCAAAGCACAGUUGGUUGCUGGCUGACAUCAUCCUCUUUAUCAAACACAUUUCUUUGCCUCUGGCCUAUACAAUGUCAUGUUUGUUAGUGUCUUUGUUCUCCAGGAAAGCCAUUAUCUUAUUAUUUUUUUAGACUGGCUUAUACACACACCAUUCACUUCCA